UAACGUGACACACAUUUUGUGCAGGAAAACAACUUUUAUUUAUGAUUCUUCAAUUUAUGAACAAUCUGUAUGAGUUUUGAACACUUUGCAGUUUAGCACAAAAACACAACUUAUGGUGAUCAUAGUGAAAGAGUGGCGACCAUAUGGACAGAUGCAGUGGACAAUUGGAGACAACUGCGUUUAACAAAACAUUAAAGGACAUUUAAAAGUAACUGAAAGGGAAUACUGUUUGGGCAGUUAGGGUGGGAAUCUCUUGGCACCUUAAGAUUCUAUUUGAUUACAGUCCAGAGGGCGGUGAUCCAUCUUGAUGCAUCUUUUCUGUGAUUUCAGGAUAAUUACUAAGCAUUUAAUUUGCGCAUUAAAAAGAAAUGUCUCCUCAAUUGCUUAACUAGCCUCAGCUCCUCCGUUUUCACCAGCGUCCUUCCUUUAACAACCAGUUGUCACUCCUCUAGAAAUGAAAUAUAAUUUAACUUAACUAUCAGGAUGUAACAUUACAGUCUGUGUAUAGGACACCAGUUUAAAGCCCACAAACAUUAAAGAGCUGUGCAAACUUCUGGGUUUCCUGGGGUACUAUAGAAGUUAUGUACAAGAUUUCUCCCGUCAUGCAAAACACCUGUAUGACUUACUCUCAACAGAUUGAACUUCAAGCCCAGUCUAAAUGUCAGUCAGCAAGGGCAGGAUAGCCCCUCCACAUCAGAAAAUAGUGUGGACUGACAGUCAUCGGACUAUCUAGUUGACAUUCUGACUAACCAAGCAGUAAUGGCUUACCCAAGGUUUGAGGAUUCAUUCAUUCUGCAUAUUGACGCUUCAGAACAAGGACUGGGAGCAGUUCUGUACCAGAGACAGGAAGACAAAAUCAGAGUUAUCGGGUACGGCUCACGAAAUUCGACACCAGCAGGAAAAAACUAUUGAUUACAUUUAGGGAAGCUGGAGUUUUUGGCACUUAAGUGGGCUGUGAAAGACAGGUUUAGAGACUAUUUGUUUUACGAUCCCUCUGUAACAUUAUACAGUGUUAACAACCCUGUCACUUAUGUCUUGAGCACAGCUAAACAGAACUCAACUGGAUAUCGCAAGGUGUUGGAGCUGGCCGACUACCGUCCACGAAAAACAAACGCAGAUUUGGACUCUUAUAUGAGCGAGUGUACAAAGUGGACUGGAUUUCAGCCAUUACCUGCAGCCCACAUGUUCAGAAGCAGGUCGAUCAGCCUCCACCUCCAUCACUGGUGUCAUCCAAGAAGCUGACAAUGCUGGUCUACCUGUGCCUACUGAAGUGGAGAGUGGUACCAUCGUGCUUACUACCACACCUGGCUCUCCAGUUUCUACUCCUCCAGUGGAUCCAGCUGGCUGGCCAUCAGUCCUUAAGGACCAGUUACACGCUGAUGUGGUGAACAGUAAAACCGACACAGGUUGGCCGAGACAUUUUGACUUUUCCAAAAAGACACUCAGACAGUUAAAGUCUUUUCUAUCAUUACAUUACAUUUAGAUCGCUCAUGAAUAAGCUGAUUCAGAAGAAUGAUGCUAUCAACUGUUUUGUAGUUUUUAUCUCCUAAACUCUUGUUUGGCUGUUAUUAAAAACAUAAUCUUUG